rnacentral:rRNA from 1 species
UUUUCAAGCUCGGCUCGACUCUCCCACCCUUUGUGAACGUACCUCUGUUGCUUUGGCGGCUCCGGCCGCCAAAGGACCUUCAAACUCCAGUCAGUAAACGCAGACGUCUGAUAAACAAGUUAAUAAACUAAAACUUUCAACAACGGAUCUCUUGGUUCUGGCAUCGAUGAAGAACGCAGCGAAAUGCGAUAAGUAAUGUGAAUUGCAGAAUUCAGUGAAUCAUCGAAUCUUUGAACGCACAUUGCGCCCCUUGGUAUUCCGGGGGGCAUGCCUGUUCGAGCGUCAUUACAACCCUCAAGCUCUGCUUGGAAUUGGGCACCGUCCUCACUGCGGACGCGCCUCAAAGACCUCGGCGGUGGCUGUUCAGCCCUCAAGCGUAGUAGAAUACACCUCGCUUUGGAGCGGUUGGCGUCGCCCGCCGGACGAACCUUCUGAACUUUUCUCAAGGUUGACCUCAAAUCAGGUAGGGAUACCC